GUCAAUUCUCGUUCUGUGAUAAGAUGAAGUGAAAAAAAGUUUUCGUUUUCACAACUACUUUUCACUCUGCCUUUUCACAGACACUUAUUUUGCGAUUCUGGUUUGUGCUGUGAAAAUCGUGUUCCAUUACCACUAUAGUCGUGAAACUUUUGCAACUGUGCUAUUGAAUUUUCGAAGUAAAUGUCAAAGUUGAGGAAAACGUAAACAAAACAUGUCGGGAAUAAUUAUUUUAUUAGAAUUAUCGCAAAGAAUUCGAGACGAGCAAAGAGAUAAUUUCAGAGUGCUCCGACGCAGACUUCGUGACGACCAAAAUCCUUUGAGAUUACAACAGACGAGCAUUUCAUUGAUUUAUAUCGGUUCCCUAAAGCUUUGUGCCUGGAAUUAAUUAAUGAAUUAAUGCCAUUUAUGCCAAACUCGCAACGGAGACAUGCUGUUCCGAGUCAUGUAAUUAUUUUAAGCGCCCUGCGUUUUUUUGCCACUGGUAGCUUUCAAAAAAGUGUGGGGCAAGACAGUUUAUCUGCUUUAUCCCAAACAUCAGUUAGCAGAUGUGUGCAAGUGGUGGCAAUUGCACUUAAUAACAUAGCCCACAGACAUAUAAAGUUCCCGAUUUCCUGGAAUAAUCGGACUCAUAGACGGAACGCACAUCAAAAUAUCAGCCCCGAAGAAAGAAAUUGAGUAUGUUUACUAUUGCCGAAAGGGUGGGCACUCCAAGAACGUUAUGAUAAUAUGUGAUGCUGAUUAUAUCGUUUUGUCUGCUAGCGCUCGGUUCGGAGGUACUGCUUAUGACUCAUAUGUAUGGCGUCGCUCUCGAGCUUGCAGAGCUCUGGAGGAGCUUUAUGAGGCGGGUGAGCGCGAUUUUUGGCUUCUGGGUGAUAGUGGCUACCCACUACAGCCUUGGCUGAUGACACCAAUUAGUGCGACAUCAUGUACCGCAGAAGAGCGCUACAAUAUAGCACACAAGUCAACUCGAGCUCUUGUAGAAAGAUGCAUUGGCUUACUAAAAACAGAUUUCGCUGUCUGUCGAAGGAAAGAGCCCUUUUCUACAGUCCACCAAAAGCAGGUUUCAUAAUCAACGCUUGCGUGGUUUUACACAACUACUUGAUUCGGGCUAGAGUGCCGUUCGAUGAAAUUUAUUUGGAAGACUCUGAAGAACCUGAAGAAUGUGGUGGCCCUUCUUCAGCUAUUUCAACACAAUAUAUUAUCCAUUGCGAAAAGACAACGAUUGCAAAUUGUUCAAAAUGCUUUUACU
rnacentral:lncRNA from 1 species